rnacentral:rRNA from 1 species
UCGCUAGUAAUCGCGGAUCAGCAUGCCGCGGUGAAUACGUUCCCGGGCCUUGUACACACCGCCCGUCACACCACGAGAGUUGGCAACACCCGAAGUCGGUGAGGUAACCUUUUUGGAUCCAGCCGCCGAAGGUGGGGCCAAUGAUUGGGGUGAAGUCGUAACAAGGUAGCCGUAUCGGAAGGUGCGGCUGGAUCACCUCCUUU